rnacentral:rRNA from 1 species
UGGGGAAUUUUGGACAAUGGGCGAAAGCCUGAUCCAGCAAUGCCGCGUGUGUGAAGAAGGCCUUCGGGUUGUAAAGCACUUUUGUCCGGAAAGAAAUCCUUGGCUCUAAUACAGUCGGGGGAUGACGGUACCGGGAAGAAUAAGCACCGGCUAACUACGUGCCAGCAGCCGCGGUAAUACGUAGGGUGCAAGCGUUAAUCGGAAUUACUGGGCGUAAAGCGUGCGCAGGCGGUUUGCUAAGACCGAUGUGAAAUCCCCGGGCUCAACCUGGGAACUGCAUUGGUGACUGGCAGGCUAGAGUAUGGCAGAGGGGGGUAGAAUUCCACGUGUAGCAGUGAAAUGCGUAGAGAUGUGGAGGAAUACCGAUGGCGAAGGCAGCCCCCUGGGCCAAAUACUGACGCUCAUGCACGAAAAGCGUGGGGGAGCAAAACAGGAUUAGAUACCCUGGUAGUCCACGCCCUAAAACGAUGUCAACUAGUUGUUGGGGAUUCAUUUCCUUAGUAACGUAGCUAACGCGUGAAGUUGACCGCCUGGGGAGUACGGUCGCAAGAUUAAAAACUCAAAUGAAUUGACGGGGUCAUAGCUGUUCCU